UCCGGCUUAUCACCGGCAGUCGCCUUAGAGUGCCCAACUAAAUGAUGGCAACUAAGGCCGAGGGUUGCGCUCGUUGCGGGACUUAACCCAACAUCUCACGACACGAGCUGACGACAGCCAUGCACCACCUGUGAUGGUGUCCCGAAGGAAAGGUGUGUUUCCACACCGGUCACCAACAUGUCAAGCCCAGGUAAGGUUCUUCGCGUUGCGUCGAAUUAAACCACAUGCUCCACCGCUUGUGCGGGCCCCCGUCAAUUCCUUUGAGUUUCACCCUUGCGGGCGUACUCCCCAGGUGGAUUACUUAACGCUUUCGCUAAGCCGCUGACAGUAUAUCGCCAACAGCGAGUAAUCAUCGUUUACAGCGUGGACUAC
rnacentral:misc_RNA from 1 species